GACGAACGCUGGCGGCGUGCUUAACACAUGCAAGUCGAACGGAAAGGCCUCUUUCGGGGGGUACUCGAGUGGCGAACGGGUGAGUAACACGUGAGGAACCUGCCCUUGACUUUGGGAUAACUUCAGGAAACUGGGGCUAAUACCGGAUAGGAGCUCCUGCUGCAUGGUGGGGGUUGGAAAGUUUCGGCGGUUGGGGAUGGACGCGCUGCUUAUCAGCUUGUUGGUGGGGUAGUGGAUUACCAAGGCUUUGACGGGUAGCCGGCCUGAGAGGGUGACCGGCCACAUUGGGACUGAGAUACGGCCCAGACUCCUACGGGAGGCAGCAGUGGGGAAUAUUGCACAAUGGGUGGAAGCCAGAUGCAGCAACGCCGUGCGCGGGAUGAAGGACUUCGGGUUGUAAAACGCUUUCGCUCAUGACGAAGCUUUGUGUGACGGUAGUGGGUAAAGAAGCACCGGCUAACUCCGUG
rnacentral:rRNA from 1 species